ACGCCGCCGCAGGGCAGCGCGUCCCGGAAGCGGCGGCGGUGGGGGAGGCGGAGGAAGUUCACGGUCUUGAGACUUCAAAGCGGCCUGGGGAAGAGGCACCUUGUCGGGGUGGGGCGAGCCUGAGGAAACGGCCCAGGGUCCGGUCGCCCUAUCAGUGCCUCCUCGCCGUCCCCGCCCCUCCCCCACCAACCCAGCGACCGAGUAGGAUGCAGACCUCAGAGCGUGAGGUGUAUGGGCUGGAGGUGAGCCCCAGCGUGAAUCCUGAGGCUUCGCUGGAGUCUCAACCUGCUCCUGCCAAGUCCCCAGCAUUUGAUCUUUUCAACUUGGUCGUGUCCUAUAAGAGGCUGGAGAUCUACUUGGAACCCUUGAAAGAUGCUGGUGAUGGUGUCCGGUAUUUGCUCAGGUGGCAGACGCCAUUGUGUUCCUUGUUGACCUGCCUGGGCCUCAACAUCUUGUUCCUCACCUUGAACGAGGGUGCAUGGUACUCGGUGGGCGCCCUGAUGAUUUCAGUGCCCGCCCUGCUGGGCUACCUGCAGGAGGUCUGCCGGGCACGGCUGCCCGAGUCUGAGCUGAUGCGGAGGAAGUACCAUAGCGUGAGGCAGGAGGACCUGCAGAGAGUGCGCCUGUCCCGUCCCGAGGCCGUGGCUGAGGUGAAGAGCUUCCUGAUCCAACUGGAGGCCUUCCUGAGCCGCCUGUGCUGCACCUGUGAAGCCGCCUACCGCGUGCUGCAUUGGGAGAACCCCACCGUGUCUUCUCAGUUCUAUGGGGCUCUUCUGGGCACGGUUUGCAUGCUAUAUCUGCUGCCGCUGUGCUGGGUCCUUGCCCUGUUAAACAGCACGCUCUUCCUGGGGAAUGUGGAGUUCUUCCGAGUGGUGUCUGAGUAUCGGGCAUCUCUGCAGCGACGCAUGAACCCCAAGCAGGAAGAGAGUGCCUUCGAGAGCCCCUCACCGCCAGAUGCUGGGGGGAAGGGCACACUGCCGGACUGCACACCUGCACCCACGCCCACAGAGGACCUCACACCGGGCAGUGUGGAGGAGGCCGAGGAGGCCGAGCCCGACGAGGAGUUUAAAGAUGCGAUUGAGGAGGAUGACGAGGGGACCCCGUGCCCGGCAGAGGACGAGCUGGCCCUACAGGACAACGGGUUCCUGAGCAAGAAUGAGGUUCUGCGCAACAAGGUGUCGAGGCUCACGGAGCGGCUUCGCAAGCGGUACCCGACCAACAACUUCGCCCUCCGUUUUUCAGGACUGCUUGCCGUCCCUUCCUUGAGGUGUUCUCAGGCUCUGGGCUGUGAGGGCAGAUGCAGCAGCUCUGCCCUUGGGUCUGCCUCCCGCAGGCCGAGGGAGCUGUACAGGCUGCUCGGCCACCUUCUCGGUGCUGAAGAAGCGGCGGAACUGCAGUAACUGUGGAAACAGCUUCUGCUCUCGGUGCUGCUCCUUCAAGGUGCCCAGGUCCUCCAUGGGGGCCACAGCCCCCGAAGCCCAGAGAGAGACUGUGUUUGUGUGUGCCUCGUGUAACCAGACCUUGAGCAAGUGAGAAGAGGGGUCAGGGUCCGAGCGGGCGCCUGUCCCUGGGGCCAGCAGUAGACCCCACUCUCCCCCCCACCCUUAGCCCCACGCGGUGUGUGCUGGGCACAUGUGGCCCGAAUGCUAGGUAGGCUUCCCCUUCCCGCCCUCGCUGUCUCCAGCCGGGGUCUGGAGCGGGUCUCCACUCCCGCGGGUGGCUGGGAACGGUUGCUCUCAAAUCAUGUUUGCCCUGCUCUGCCCUGGGCUGUUAGUGGGUCAGGGCUGGGCAGGGAAUGUAAGCUAGAGGGCGGCAGGGAGCCAGGCCCAGUCUCCACGGGAAUGGUGGCGUCUCACAUGCCUGGGAGCUCUAGGAGACCAGAGGUCAGCGAUUGGGAAAAGAGGCUCUCCUCCCGCUGGGUGCUGGGCCAGCCCCUUGCCCUUUGAGAGCCAAUUCAAAGAAGGAGUUGCGCCCAGCCCCACGUGUGCUCUUUGCGUGUCCCUCCAGGCAUCAGGUUCUCAUCAUUUCCCCAGCACAGGGUGUGGCCAGGGCUGAGCAGACCAAAAGCACCUCAAGAAACAGGGUCGAAAGUCUCAGGUUCCCGCAGAGGAGGAUGUGUCUAGGAAGGCCUGGCAGAAUCCUUCAGCAUUAAGGGGAGCAAAACACGGGAGCCCCUGCAACUCACAGGGCCUCAGCCCACGUAUUACCCUGGUGUUUUCAGCCGGGCCAGGUAGCCGCUGGGCACUCAGAUGCCCCUGUUCAGAGGCAUCCUCCCAUCCUCAGGCUACGAUUCCCCUCCCUGGCCCCUCAUCCUGUGGAGUCUGAGACCAGGCGGGCUGAGAAGAGGUCCUGAAGCCCUCGCCCUUUGGAGGCCUGGGAAGUGUAGGAUCUCGCCUGGCUGGGUCUCAGCUUCCAGGGCUGUUCACCAGCAGAACAGUCUGAGUUACGGGACAAGGCCCCUUGGGGUCAGCCCUCCCCUCUUUCUGACAGUUUCCUGUUCACUUCUGGACUUGGCGGGGCUCAGUGGCUCUCCCUAAGCCGUGAGCAGGCUCAGGCACCCUUUUCUUCCCCAGGAGCUGCUCUGCCUUUUGGAAUUAUUUAUUUAUUUAUUUCAUGGUUCCUGGGAACAUGUGGCAUAAGGAAUGGGAUGAGGAGGGUGGGGGCUUCUCCGGCCCUGGGACCUUUCCCUGGAGUCAUGGGCUGCCUGGGACUCGGAACCCUGGGAGACAGAGACGUUUGUGUAUGCAAAGCAGGGACCUGAGGGGGCAGGUUGAGGGAGAAAAGGACCCUCCUAGGCCAGCUUUCUCUCCAGACCAACCAGUCUAGGAGGCGGGGGCCUGCUCCAGGCCAGGGGGGCGAGUCCCUGGGGAACCAGGCAGGCCUUGGUGGACCCCCUUCCCCGGGCUCCUUUGUCCUGUUGAAGAGAUGAGCGUUAGGUACCUGGGUUUUAUUUACACUGGAAAGGAACUAAAAGGAUGUCUGUGUAUGUGGAGAAUUGUCAAUAAAAAGGCCUCAAGCUUCGUA